rnacentral:rRNA from 1 species
UGGGGAAUAUUGCACAAUGGGCGCAAGCCUGAUGCAGCCAUGCCGCGUGUAUGAAGAAGGCCUUCGGGUUGUAAAGUACUUUCAGCGGGGAGGAAGGGAGUAAAGUUAAUACCUUUGCUCAUUGACGUUACCCGCAGAAGAAGCACCGGCUAACUCCGUGCCAGCAGCCGCGGUAAUACGGAGGGUGCAAGCGUUAAUCGGAAUUACUGGGCGUAAAGCGCACGCAGGCGGUUUGUUAAGUCAGAUGUGAAAUCCUCGGGCUCAACCUGGGAACUGCAUCUGAUACUGGCAAGCUUGAGUCUCGUAGAGGGGGGUAGAAUUCCAGGUGUAGCGGUGAAAUGCGUAGAGAUCUGGAGGAAUACCGGUGGCGAAGGCGGGCCCCUGGACGAAGACUGACGCUCAGGUGCGAAAGCGUGGGGAGCAAACAGG